CGAAACAUAAUACUACUCUUUUAUUUAAUGGAAAAAAUACUUUCAAACAUAUUGCAGUUUAUAAAAAUAUCUGUGUACAGAAAAGUGAAAUGUAUUACUAGUUUUCAGAAUUAUAAAAAUCGGACAAAAACUCAAGAAAAUUUACUUACAUGAACAAUAGAAGAUUUGUUUUGAGAUCUAAUAUAAAUAAAUAUUUUUAAAUAGUCAUUGUGUUGAGGUGGUUAGGUAAUUAGUGCUUUGCUUUUACAAACAAAUUCUGUAAUGUAUGUGUGUGUAUGAAAAAGAAACAAUAUAGAUCAGUAUUUUUUCAUAUGGCUAUUUUAAGUAUGGGGGUACAUUUAAGACAAUAUCAUUUAUUUAACUUAAAGCCAUAUUGCACCAUAUGUAGUCCUACUUGUUUGGAUUCACAGGUAAAGUAUUGAUAUAAUUAUCAAUAUCUAUUGGAUGUCCACAGUACUCUAUAAAACAAAUACUCAGGAUGGGCACAGUGGCUUAUGCCUGUAAUCCCAGCACUUUGGGAGGCUGAGGCGGAAGGAUCACUUGAGCCCAAGAAUUCAAGACCAGCCUGUCUCUACUAAAAAUUAAAAAAUAAACUGGGUGUGGUAGCAUGUACUUGUAUUCCCAGCUACUGUGGAGGUUGAGGCAGGAGGAUCGCUUGGGCCAGGGUGUUCGAGGGUGCAGUGAGCUGUGAUCCAGCCACUGUCCUUGAAGUUGGGUGACAGAGGGAGACCCUAUGUCAAACAAACAAGCAACAACAAAAACUGAGACAUUUUUGUACCAAAAAUGCAUUAAAUGAAAAACAAUCCAAGCUGACCAUUUUCUUUGUGCACCACCCAUGUUCCCACAACCUCAUACAGGAAGACUUCUGUAGAAUUCCUAUCAUUUGGCCAUUCAGUCUUCGCUAUCAUUUUAAUUCCAAUAUUCUGCUGAGAGAGGAACACAGAAAUAGACAGUAGCCAGUGAUUCCAAGUCUAGCUGAGCAUCAGAAUUACACCGGGACCUGGCACUUGGCACAAGUGACCCAUUCUGGUUUGGUCUGGUCCGUCGGGGUCUAGUGCAGGAGCUCAGUCUAAAACAAUAGCCUCCCAUAAACUUGAUUUCACAAAGCAUAUAGGAGGCAUGUGGAACUGGAAUGCACGCACACUAUUUUAAAUUAUGUGAAUCAUAUUAUGCAUAUACUGUUCUGCAACUUUUUUUGGAACAUUUGUUUUCUCACUUAAUCUGUGGCAAAGACUUGGUGGUUUAUUCAUUGAAUACACUGAACCAGAGGGGCUCUGGACAAGAGAUUUCUGGCAUAGCCAAAAGCUUAUCAGGCAGGUUCUUGGCAGGAAACAGAUGGCACACUUUUCUUAAACUGCAACGAGGGAGAAAACUGGAAGUCUUCAUCAUGGCAAGUGUGUCCCAGUUUCACUCCCAAACACACAGACAGCCACGUAUUCAUUCC
rnacentral:lncRNA from 10 species